AUGCCAAUGCCGCUGCCCGCCGUGGGCACGGGCCCCGCGUCGGCGAUAGCUCCGGUCACCGCCGCGGCGCCCCUUAGAUAUCGUCCCAUACGACUCCGCGCAUCUCCGUCGACGGUUUCCUCCCCUUCAACCUCUGCGAUCUCCAGCCCGCCGCCCCCGCCGUCUGCGAGGCAUUCCCGCAAACACCUGGCGGGCAGAGGCCACGCCCCGGCGAGGCCCUCCAAGGACCGUGUCUUCUUCCUCGACGUCAACCCGAUAUGCUUCCGCGGCUCCCAGCGUAGCCUCGGCGCCUUCGCGCGCUGGCUCGCGCUCUUCUUCACGCACGUCAGCCUCCGGGACCCCGUUGUGGCCGUCUUCGACGGGGCAGGUGGGAACGAGUACCGGAGGCGGCUGCUGCCGUCCUACAAAGCGCACCGGACUCGCGGCGUAGGCACCGGUGCCGAUUCCCGCGUGGUUGACGUGCUCUGCGAGUGCAAUGUUCCGAUUGUGCAAGUCGAUGGAUACGAGGCAGAUGAUGUAGUGGCUACCUUGACAAAGCAAGUAUUACAGAAAGGUUAUAGAGUUGUCAUUGCCUCGCCUGACAAGGACUUCAAGCAGUUGAUAUCUGAAGAUGUUCAGUUAGUUAUGCCCAUUCCUGAGAUUGGCCGAUGGUCCUUUUAUACGCUGAGGCAUUAUGUUGCACAAUACAAGUGUGAUCCAACUGUAGAUUUGAGCCUCAGAUGCUUUAUGGGUGAUGAAGCAGAUGGUGUUCCGGGAAUCCAGCAUCUGGCUCCUGGUUUUGGUCGCAAGACUGCGGUGAAACUACUGAACAAACAUGGUUCAUUAGAAAACCUACUUAAUACAGCUGCAGUUAGAACUGUAGGCAAGGAGUAUGCCCAGGAUGUUUUAGUCAAGCAUGCAGAUUACUUGCGAAAAAACUAUGAAAUUCUCAGUUUGAGGAGGGAUGUAAAUGUUCAGCUUGAUGACAGAUGGUUAUCCACAAGGGACACUUGUAAUGACACCAGUGUGUUAUCUGACUUCAUCACUAAAUUCAACUAA
rnacentral:rRNA from 1 species